UACGUAGGGUGCAAGCGUUAUCCGGAUUCACUGGGUUUAAAGGGUGCGUAGGUGGAUCUAUAAGUCAGUGGUGAAAGCCCCGGGCUCAACUUGGGAAUUGCCAUUGAUACUGUAGGUCUUGAGUGCGGUUGAGGUAGGCGGAAUGUUGCAUGUAGCGGUGAAAUGCUUAGAUAUGCAACAGAACACCAAUUGCGAAGGCAGCUUACCAAACCGAUACUGACACUGAUGCACGAAAGCGUGGGGAUCAAACAGG
rnacentral:rRNA from 1 species